rnacentral:rRNA from 1 species
UGAGCAAUCUGCCCCUGACUCUGGGAUAAGCGCUGGAAACGGCGUCUAAUACUGGAUACGAGCUGCGAAGGCAUCUUCAGCAGCUGGAAAGAACUUCGGUCAGGGAUGAGCUCGCGGCCUAUCAGCUUGUUGGUGAGGUAAUGGCUCACCAAGGCGUCGACGGGUAGCCGGCCUGAGAGGGUGACCGGCCACACUGGGACUGAGACACGGCCCAGACUCCUACGGGAGGCAGCAGUGGGGAAUAUUGCACAAUGGGCGCAAGCCUGAUGCAGCAACGCCGCGUGAGGGACGACGGCCUUCGGGUUGUAAACCUCUUUUAGCAGGGAAGAAGCGAAAGUGACGGUACCUGCAGAAAAAGCGCCGGCUAACUACGUGCCAGCAGCCGCGGUAAUACGUAGGGCGCAAGCGUUAUCCGGAAUUAUUGGGCGUAAAGAGCUCGUAGGCGGUUUGUCGCGUCUGCUGUGAAAUCCCGAGGCUCAACCUCGGGUCUGCAGUGGGUACGGGCAGACUAGAGUGCGGUAGGGGAGAUUGGAAUUCCUGGUGUAGCGGUGGAAUGCGCAGAUAUCAGGAGGAACACCGAUGGCGAA